rnacentral:snRNA from 1 species
GUGCUCGCUUCGGCAGCACAUAUACUAAAAAACUGGAACCAUACAGAGAUUAGCAUGGCCCCUGCGCAAGGAUGACACACAAAUUCGUGAAGCGUUCCACAUUUUG